UGGGGAAUUUUGGACAAUGGGCGCAAGCCUGAUCCAGCAAUGCCGCGUGCAGGAUGAAGGCCUUCGGGUUGUAAACUGCUUUUGUACGGAACGAAAAGCCUCUCUCUAAUACAGGGGGGUGAUGACGGUACCGUAAGAAUAAGCACCGGCUAACUACGUGCCAGCAGCCGCGGUAAUACGUAGGGUGCAAGCGUUAAUCGGAAUUACUGGGCGUAAAGCGUGCGCAGGCGGUUUUGUAAGACAGUGGUGAAAUCCCCGGGCUCAACCUGGGAACUGCCAUUGUGACUGCAAGGCUGGAGUGCGGCAGAGGGGGGAUGGAAUUCCGCGUGUAGCAGUGAAAUGCGUAGAUAUGCGGAGGAACACCGAUGGCGAAGGCAAUCCCCUGGGCCUGCACUGACGCUCAUGCACGAAAGCGUGGGGAGCAAACAGGAUUAGAUACCCUGGUAGUCCACGCCCUAAACGAUGUCAACUGGUUGUUGGGGAUUUAUUUCUUCAGUAACGAAGCUAACGCGUGAAGUUGACCGCCUGGGGGAGUACGGCCGCAAGGUUAAAAACUC
rnacentral:rRNA from 1 species